AUCGUCUCCUACCUCAUUUAGCUACUCGCUAAGUCACCAAACAUAUUUGUCUCUUGGUAAGAGGAAGGAUUUUUACUCUCAGCAAGCCCAUUACCACAAGAGAGAUAAAAGUUCGUAUUAAGACAACCAGGGGUAAACGUACCGUUGAAUAUUAUGACUAUGGGGCCAAACCUCAUUCUUUCAAAGUGAAGGACUAGGUAUUGAAGGAAAUGCUAUUAUAAGAAGGUAUACACAUUACAAAUGUUUUGACUUUCAACCGCUUGAGAUCUUUUGUCACACAAGCCAUUCGACAAAUAUUUAAAGAAGAGGGAAUUCAGACAACUUCUUUUGAAUCUUUUGUAUUCCUAGCAUUGGAAUACGAAGAUCAAGCUCUUCAGCCCUCUUGCAUCUGUUUCAGACAUUUCUCCUCUAUAACAAUGCAAACACUACAACUACGUAGAAAGCUUCGCACUCUUGAUCAAGAUUGUUCGAAGCAAAUUCAAUUUAUAUGGUUCAUCCAAACCUUCGACUACUACAAGGUAUGGCUUGCAUCAUACUCUCUUGCUCAAUAGUUUGGAAGCAAAAUUUGUAUAUGUUUUC
rnacentral:lncRNA from 1 species